rnacentral:rRNA from 1 species
UUGAACGCUGGCGGCAUUGCCUAACACAUGCAAGUCGAACGGCAGCACAGCAGUAGCAAUACUGUGGGUGGCGAGUGGCGGACGGGUGAGGUAAUGCAUCGGGAUCUACCCAAACGUGGGGGAUAACGUAGGGAAACUUACGCUAAUACCGCAUACGUCCUAAGGGAGAAAGCGGGGGACCGAAAGGCCUCGCGCGGUUGGACGAACCGAUGUGCGAUUAGCUAGUUGGUAGGGUAAUGGCCUACCAAGGCGACGAUCGCUAGCUGGUCUGAGAGGAUGAUCAGCCACACUGGAACUGAGACACGGUCCAGACUCCUACGGGAGGCAGCAGUGGGGAAUAUUGGACAAUGGGCGCAAGCCUGAUCCAGCAAUGCCGCGUGUGUGAAGAAGGCCUUCGGGUUGUAAAGCACUUUUAUCAGGAGCGAAAUACUACUGGCUAAUAACCGGUGGGGCUGACGGUACCGAGGAAUAAGCACCGGCUAACUUCGUGCCAGCAGCCGCGGUAAUACGAAGGGUGCAAGCGUUAAUCGGAAUUACUGGGCGUAAAGCGUGCGUAGGCGGUGGAGUCAAGUCUGUUUGUGAAAUCCCCGGGCUCAACCUGGGAAUGGCAAUGGAUACUGGCUCGCUAGAGUGUGAUAGAGGAUGGUGGAAUUCCCGGUGUAGCGGUGAAAUGCGUAGAGAUCGGGAGGAACAUCAGUGGCGAAGGCGGCCAUCUGGAUCAACACUGACGCUGAGGCACGAAAGCGUGGGGAGCAAACAGGAUUAGAUACCCUGGUAUAGUCCACGCCCCUAAACGAUGCGAACUGGAUGUUGGUCUCAACUCGGAGAUCAGUGUCGAAGCUAACGCGUUAAGUUCGCCGCCUGGGGAGUAUGGUCGCAAGACUGAAACUCAAAGGAAUUGACGGGGGCCCGCACAAGCGGUGGAGUAUGUGGUUUAAUUCGAUGCAACGCGAAGAAUCUUACCUGGCCUUGACAUGUCUGGAAUCCUGCAGAGAUGGGGAGUGCCUUCGGGAUCAGAACACAGGUGCUGCAUGGCUGUCGUCAGCUCGUGCCGUGAGAUGUUGGGUUAAGUCCCGCAACGAGCGCAACCCUUGUCCUUAGUUGCCAGCACGUAAUUGGGUGGGAACUCUAAGGAGACUGCCGGUGACAAACCGGAGGAAGGUGGGGAUGACGUCAAGUCAUCAUGGCCAUUACGGCCAGGGCUACACACGUAACUACAAUGGUCGGUACAGAGGGUUGCAAUACCGCGAGGUGGAGCCAAUCCCAGAAAGCCGAUCCCAGUCCGGAUUGGAGUCUGCAACUCGACUCCAUGAAGUCGGAAUCGCUAGUAAUCGCAGAUCAGCUUGCUGCGGUGAAUACGUUCCCAGGGCCUUGUACACACCGCCCGUCACACCAUGGGAGUGGAGUUGCUCCAGAAGCCGUUAGUCUAACCGCAAGGGGGACGACGACCACGGAGUGGUUCAUGACUGGGGUG